CCUACGGGGGGCAGCAGUGGGGAAUAUUGGACAAUGGGGGGAACCCUGAUCCAGCCAUGCCGCGUGUGUGAAGAAGGCCCUCGGGUUGUAAAGCACUUUCAGUGAGGAAGAACGCCUGGUGGUUAAUACCCAUCAGGAAAGACAUCACUCACAGUAGAAGCACCGGCUAACUCCGUGCCAGCAGCCGCGGUAAUACGGAGGGUGCGAGCGUUAAUCGGAAUUACUGGGCGUAAAGCGCGCGUAGGUGGCUUGAUAAGCCGGUUGUGAAAGCCCCGGGCUCAACCUGGGAACGGCAUCCGGAACUGUCAAGCUAGAGUGCAGGAGAGGAAGGUAGAAUUCCCGGUGUAGCGGUGAAAUGCGUAGAGAUCGGGAGGAAUACCAGUGGCGAAGGCGGCCUUCUGGACUGACACUGACACUGAGGUGCGAAAGCGUGGGUAGCAAACAGGAUUAGAUACCCCGGUAGUC
rnacentral:rRNA from 1 species